CUGCUUGGGACAAGCGGCUUCAGACAGUGUGUGUGUGUGUGUGUGUGUGUGUGUGCUAUAUACUGUAAAUGAAAGCAAUAUGUCGUACCAGUGUGUCUGACAUCAGAGUCUGUGAUCUGUUUGUUUUAGAAGCUGUCGUUUCUAAGGAGAAGACAAAGCUGAUACUUCCAAGAAGAGCUGUCCAAGUUAAAGUUGAAAAGACCACAAAGCCACAUGAACCAGUGAAAGAAGUCAAAACUAAGGAGCAUAAAGGUGCAAGUACGUCAUAAAAGAUGUGUUUUCCGAGAAAGAUAUUUAACAAAGUUAUCCAGCCUAUUACUUUUUGUGGUUUUGCAGUGAUUAGAUCUUUUUUUUUAACAGAGCUUGACAGAGAGAAGCUCAAAAUUUUGCUUAAGAGGGCUAAGGCCAGAUUUUCUAACUCUCAUAUUGGUGUUCUUGUGUUUAUUACACUGGUGUGAAUAAUUAAGACUAAGAAUACUCCACACAUAGCAAACAACAGCAAAUGUAUUCAGUAUGAGCAACACAAAAACUAAAAAUAGACUUUAAUGUAGCAGCAAUAUAGCUUUGCAUCAAUUCUCUAAUGGCCAGAUGUUUAUUCAUGCAGAACCUGAAAAAGAAAGGCCUAAACCUUUGGUGAAAAAGGACACUGAAAAAGAAAAGAUGAAAACUGCGCUAAAGAAAGAGGAGAAAAUGAAGGAUCUCAAAGUCCCUGCGGCUGAAGCACAGACAAAGCCCCGUCAUGCUGCAAAAAUGACCCCACCAGGGAGAGGUUCCUCUACUCAUCCAAAAGCCGAAACAGGUAGGCCAGCUCAGGUCGACACAAAGUCAACAAAGGAUGCAAAAGAACAAGAUGGGAAAACUCCAAAACCAUCAAAACCUGCUGGUGUGGAGGAGGCCAAGGCCAAGACAGAGCCAGCCAAAAUGCCCUACUUCCAGUGUGUCCUUCUUCGCUCCAAAAACACCAAGUACCCUCUAUACCCUUUCACCCCUGCUCAAAGUCCCAUCACCAAGCCCCAGCCGCCAGAAAGGAGAGCCAGGGCAGCUGGGCACUAAGACAGCGCCUCCUACAGGUCAAGUUAAUUUCUCACCGCAGCUGUCCCCUGCGACUGGAGGGCUGUUCUCUUGCUGGGGCCAUUGUGGGCCACAAGCAUCUUAAGAGGUCUUGACUGUUAACCAAGGAUGAUCUUGAACAAAGAGGAUGAAUGGUUCUUUAACUUUUUUGUUUUUCUUAAGACUGGUCGAGCUUCCAUCACUGUUGGUGUAUGAACCCCAUUCCUUUACAUGCAGCCGUGAUGAUGUCUUGCAGUGUUUGUCUCUUCCUCCGUUUCAGUGCUGUGUCAAAAAAGCACUUAUGAAAAUUCAAUUAUGAAAGAAGCAGAAUGCAUCACGAUUAUUAAUCCACUGUGGUGGUUUCGAUAUCAUGAGUGACACAGCUUAUCUUAUAUAGUUUGAUUUUUAUUUUUGACGGCCAAAAGAAUACGAAGUUUAACCGAAAAAAUCAAUUUAUUGUCAGCUUGUACGUAUAAAUAGACAUAUACUGUAUAUAAUUUAGUGUAAAUUUGCAGUUUACAGUUGGGGUUUCUCAAAUUCAAUUUGAGAUAUUUCAUCGUGCUAAUGCGCCUCAAUCUCAAAAUGUGCAAAGAGAAAUAUUAGUUUAUAUAUAAUAAUUUAUUUGCUAUAUGUGUACAUUUACUAAUUAAUUUGUAUGGUGGCAAUAUCUUAAAUUAUUGUCCACCGUGGCAAUAUCUUAAAUUGUUUUUAAACUAUAUAUUUAAUUAAUUUAUUGUAAAUGUGACAUGAUACUGUGGAAUGUGUGUCGUAGUGCAGGGAAUGUUGAAAACAUGUAUGUUAAUGUUUUUGACCCAAAAAGAAUCUGUGUGUGUGUGUGUGUGUGUGUGUGUGUGUGUGUGUGUGUGUGUGUGUGUGUGUGUGUGCGCGCCGCUCUAUUUGUGUUUAUCUGUAAAUUUAUGUCAGCUUCCUAUGUCUCGUUCUGCACCACUGUUUCCCAUAAGCCCUGUCUGGCAGCAAAAAAAAAAUCUUUGAAACAUGUUUUUGCUUGUUUAGAAGAAGAACUAUUUCUGGCUCAGCAUUUCUUAUUUGCGUUACACAUUUGGGAACCACAAACAAUAAAGCUGCUGUGGAAAGUUCGAAUUUGUUUUAC
ensembl:lncRNA